UUUUUCUUCCCUAGUCAGACGAUUCAUCCCCUUCCCCCGUGGCAGCUGUGCGGAGCGACGAUUCGCCAUGGAUGGACUCAAGUUCUUCUUUGAAGAAGCAAAAUCAGGGUUGGUUCCUAGUCUAGAUGCGGGUGAUAUUUUGGGCGGCGGAAUCGAUGUUGUCGAAUCCGUGGUUGUUUCCAUCUAUGAAGCUCGCGGGCACUUCGUUGAAGUGCUUUCUUCUGAACCCAUGGACAGCAGCAGCGUCAAAGACCAGUUCAAAAGGCUCCUGCUGGACUCGAUGGUAACGAACGGACACCCAUUGGUCAUUUCUUUUCUGUUAGCCGAAUGAUUCUAGCUUAUUGUAAUUGCCUGUAAAACGAAAACAAGCGCAUGGAAGAGUUCGCCCGGGGGGAACGAGAUUUUUUUGCCGUUUUAUAGCCAAUUUUUAGCUAGCUUGAAACACAGAUUUUUCAAUAGGGUGUCAUCACUGUAGGCAAUAAAAAAAAUCAAUGAUUCAACUUUAUCUUUUUCAGAAUUACCAUGUUUACGUCCGGCUGAACCAGUAGAAAAUACAGUUAACACCCUUUUUUGAGAACUACAGUAUUAGGGUUGGCAAGGCGUUAGAGGAGAGGGAUGCCAACCCAAGCAGGGUCCCUGCCCUUGAGGCUUCAAUGCGAGCUUACGCAGACAACAAGGCUGGCAUUGUUGUUAAUCUGGCACUCGGUACUAGCUUUGACACAGUUGAGGAAGCGUAUGAGUUUUACAACCUAUACUCCUCAAAGAUGGGCUUUGGCGUGAGGUAUGCCAAGAGCAGGUUGAACGUCCAUCGGACAAAAUGGACAAAAUGUAUGCAGGAGUUCAUGUGCGCAUGUGCGGUGAGGGUGAUUCAUUAAUUCAGAAAAGAAAAAUGCUUCCUGUGCACGUACCUUUUCGUAUUAUGUUCUCAUAUGUUGUUCUGGGAAAGACACAGGGCAAGCCAUUGCAAUCCAACAGCCGAUCCACAAGGUGUGGAUGCGCUGCGUUGAUGCGGGUGCUUAGAUCUGAAUAUGCGGGAUGGUACAUAUGCGAACACAAAACAGAGCACAACCAUGCGCUCUUAGUUAACUGUAUGGAGAAGCUACACUGGAAAUCACACUGGCACAUAGAUAGAUAUAACAGAGACUUGGUGAAACAGCUAAGAGAAAACAAUAUAAGCCCGAGCAAGGUUUACAGCGUGGUAGGCAGUUUUUCUGAAGGAGGUACCAUUCACAAAGAGAUCUCUGAAAACUCGUUGUGGAAAACUUAACAGAGAGCAAUCAGAAAAUGAUGCCAUGGAAACAAUAGAGGUGUUCAACGCAAUGCUGGCUAAAGAUCCUGAGUUUAAAUACAAUCUGUAGGUUGAUCAAGAUGGCCGAGUUAAGACUUUGACGCGGACACAGGGAGAAGCACUGAGCAGUUUAAGUGUUUUGGCGAUGCUGUCACUUUUGAUACCACAUACAAAACUAAUCUUUAUGGCAUGCCGUUUGGUCUUUUUGUUGGUGUCAACAAUCACUUCGAAAGCAUUAUUUUUGGUGGUGUGCUGAUGAGAGAUGAGAAAAUCGACACUUUCAAGUGGAUUUUCACAGAGUUCUUCCAGAUGAUAGGAGCUCCACAACCAUGGACAAUGCUCACAGACCAAGCUCGUGCAAUGUACGUUGCCAUAGAAUAUGCCAUGCCAGGUACAACAGAUUGAUGGUGCAAAUGUCAUGUGAUGAAGAAAGCAAAAGAGUAUCUUGGGCCACUGCUAGGCAAGGGCAGUGAGUACAAACAGGAGUUCAACAAGAUGGUGCAGCAUAUGGUUAGCGAGAAAGAAUUCGAGGAUGUUUGGGUGUGUAUGGUUGAUGAGCAUGAUCUACAAAAAACACAGUUCUCACCCAAAUAUAUGAGACCCGGAGGAAGUGGGUUAAACCUUACUUCAUAGGUGUUUUUUGUGCCAAGAUGACCAACACACAGCGGAGUGAAAGUGCAAACCAUUUGCUCAAAGCACCUUUUUGUUAGGCAAUAUGAGAAGAUGCAAUUUGAUAGAGAUUCAGAGGAGAGUUGUCAGGAGAAGAGGACCAAACUGGUAAUAAUAACAAACUUUAUGUAUUGUCCCAUGAGCAUUUUAUCUUAUCAUAAAUUAUGUCCCCAAUGGCAUCCGAAAUGACAUAUCUUCACAUGCUAUGUCCCUGCCCGUUGGCGGUGUUGUGCUGGCUCGGAACCUACCUAUUGAGAUACAUGCAUAAAAAAUUUACAUGAGGGCUAUGUUUGAAAAUUUUGGCGAGAUGUUAUAUGAAGGUGGGUCAUAUGUUCUGAUUAAAGUUGUGCCUCAUCGUGAAUACAUAGCCAGGCAUGUAAAGAAAGAUUCCAGGGACAAAUGGUGCAAAAAUGAAUACAUCGUCCAGGUCAAUGAGCUUGCUGACGAAUUCAAAUGUGAAUGCGGGAUGUUUGAACAUUUCGGCAUGGUGUGCAACCAUGCACUAAAGGUGUGGGUCUUUUUUUCUCUUUUUGUUGUUGCUCUGUUAUACCCCCUCAGUACAAAGUUAGUACAAAAUUGAGUCACUUAUUUUGAGACGGAGGGAGUACAUCUUAAGCAAAUUAUUACACGUCCACAGAGGGGCCAAGGGCACAAGAGCACUACAUGUCCGCAGCGGGGUGAUCUUCCAAAGGCGCCGAGGAAGUCGCCUUGCAGCUCCAGGUGCAUCCUGACAGG